CGUUAGCGGCGGACGGGUGAGUAACACGUGGAUAACCUACCUAUAAGACUGGGAUAACUUCGGGAAACCGGAGCUAAUACCGGAUAACAUAUUGAACCGCAUGGUUCAAUAGUGAAAGGCGGCUUUGCUGUCACUUAUAGAUGGAUCCGCGCCGUAUUAGCUAGUUGGUAAGGUAACGGCUUACCAAGGCAACGAUACGUAGCCGACCUGAGAGGGUGAUCGGCCACACUGGAACUGAGACACGGUCCAG
rnacentral:rRNA from 1 species